GUUCUAAGAUUAUAGAUUAAACUCAACUAAAAUCUAAAACAAAACAAACCAACACCCGAAAAUCACGGGUUA
rnacentral:rRNA from 1 species